UUUAUGGAGAGUUUGAUCCUGGCUCAGGAUGAACGCUGGCGGCGUGCCUAAUACAUGCAAGUCGAGCGAACGGACGAGAAGCUUGCUUCUCUGAUGUUAGCGGCGGACGGGUGAGUAACACGUGGAUAACCUACCUAUAAGACUGGGAUAACUUCGGGAAACCGGAGCUAAUACCGGAUAAUAUUUUGAACCGCAUGGUUCAAAAGUGAAAGACGGUCUUGCUGUCACUUAUAGAUGGAUCCGCGCUGCAUUAGCUAGUUGGUAAGGUAACGGCUUACCAAGGCAACGAUGCAUAGCCGACCUGAGAGGGUGAUCGGCCACACUGGAACUGAGACACGGUCCAGACUCCUACGGGAGGCAGCAGUAGGGAAUCUUCCGCAAUGGGCGAAAGCCUGACGGAGCAACGCCGCGUGAGUGAUGAAGGUCUUCGGAUCGUAAAACUCUGUUAUUAGGGAAGAACAUAUGUGUAAGUAACUGUGCACAUCUUGACGGUACCUAAUCAGAAAGCCACGGCUAACUACGUGCCAGCAGCCGCGGUAAUACGUAGGUGGCAAGCGUUAUCCGGAAUUAUUGGGCGUAAAGCGCGCGUAGGCGGUUUUUUAAGUCUGAUGUGAAAGCCCACGGCUCAACCGUGGAGGGUCAUUGGAAACUGGAAAACUUGAGUGCAGAAGAGGAAAGUGGAAUUCCAUGUGUAGCGGUGAAAUGCGCAGAGAUAUGGAGGAACACCAGUGGCGAAGGCGACUUUCUGGUCUGUAACUGACGCUGAUGUGCGAAAGCGUGGGGAUCAAACAGGAUUAGAUACCCUGGUAGUCCACGCCGUAAACGAUGAGUGCUAAGUGUUAGGGGGUUU
rnacentral:rRNA from 1 species